rnacentral:tRNA from 1 species
GCCCUCGUAGCUCAAUUGGACAGAGUGAUGGACUUCGAAUCCAGAGGUUGGGAGUUCGAGCCUCCCCGGGGGCG